AAGUUGUCACCUCGAUUGGCUCAGCUCAAGGUUCGCAGAGAGUGUUCAGUACCAGAGUAGCAGAAGUUCCACCUGAAAUUCAAAAUGUCUGGGCCUCUCACCUGCUCAACACCCUGUACAAGUCCAUUCUCAAAUAUGACAAUGUUGGAGAGAGGCCUCUGAGCAAACCAUAUGUGAGACUUCUGCCUAAAGUCUCCCUUCUGUUCUCUCCCUGGGUGGAAAUGGUGUGGCCUUACCUGCAGACAGUGGAUGAGUAGAUCAUGCAUGGGCACCUGUGGGACAAUGCCAGGGAGUUCAUCAUCCAGAGCGUGUCAGAAAAGACAGAAAGUGAAGAAAAAAAAUGAGUGAUAAUUCGAGUGCGAGUUCUAGCAGUGACCAGGGCCCUCCAGCAGGCAGCACACCAUGGUGUCCUUCCUCAAACAUGUCCUGAAGCAGAUCAUAAUGGCUGACAAGUCCAUGCAGCUGCUGAAGAACCUGCAAUGUGCAGAAAGCACCACCCACAGGCCGCAGCCAGAGAAAAGGCAGAUAUAGGUUUGGUCAAGUGCCAUUGCAUGCCUGGUGCAUGGCCAGGACCUUUCCAUGGCCAGUGUAGGGCCAGGCCAUGUUGGUUCAGGGAUAGGACCAGAUGAAGGGCAGUGUUAAGGAGGGUCCAGG
rnacentral:lncRNA from 1 species